AUGAACGCUGGCGGCGUGCCUAAUACAUGCAAGUCGAGCGAACAGACGAGGAGCUUGCUCCUCUGACGUUAGCGGCGGACGGGUGAGUAACACGUGGAUAACCUACCUAUAAGACUGGGAUAACUUCGGGAAACCGGAGCUAAUACCGGAUAAUAUAUUGAACCGCAUGGUUCAAUAGUGAAAGACGGUUUUGCUGUCACUUAUAGAUGGAUCCGCGCCGCAUUAGCUAGUUGGUAAGGUAACGGCUUACCAAGGCAACGAUGCGUAGCCGACCUGAGAGGGUGAUCGGCCACACUGGAACUGAGACACGGUCCAGACUCCUACGGGAGGCAGCAGUAGGGAAUCUUCCGCAAAGGGCAAAAGCCUGACGGAGCAACGCCGCGUGAGUGAUGAAGGUCUUCGGAUCGUAAAACUCUGUUAUUAGGGAAGAACAAAUGUGUAAGUAACUAUGCACGUCUUGACGGUACCUAAUCAGAAAGCCACGGCUAACUACGUG
rnacentral:rRNA from 1 species